AACGAACGCUGGCGGCAUGCCUAACACAUGCAAGUCGAACGAAGGCUUCGGCCUUAGUGGCGCACGGGUGCGUAACGCGUGGGAAUCUGCCCUUAGGUUCGGAAUAACAGCUGGAAACGGCUGCUAAUACCGGAUGAUAUCGCGAGAUCAAAGAUUUAGCGCCUGAGGAUGAGCCCGCGUUGGAUUAGGUAGUUGGUGGGGUAAAGGCCUACCAAGCCGACGAUCCAUAGCUGGGCUGAGAGGAUGAUCAGCCACACUGGGACUGGGACACGGCCCAGACUCCUACGGGAGGCAGCAGUGGGGAAUAUUGGACAAUGGGCGAAAGCCUGAUCCAGCAAUGCCGCGUGAGUGAUGAAGGCCCUAGGGUUGUAAAGCUCUUUUACCCGGGAAGAUAAUGACUGUACCGGGAGAAUAAGCCCCGGCUAACUCCGUGCCAGCAGCCGCCGUAA
rnacentral:rRNA from 1 species